rnacentral:rRNA from 1 species
UACGGGGGGGGCAAGCGUUGUUCGGAAUUACUGGGCGUAAAGGGCUCGUAGGCGGCCAACUAAGUCAGACGUGAAAUCCCUCAGCUUAACUGGGGAACUGCGUCUGAUACUGGAUGGCUUGAGUUCGGGAGAGGGAUGCGGAAUUCCAGGUGUAGCGGUGAAAUGCGUAGAUAUCAGGAGGAACACCGGUGGCGAAGGCGGGUCUCUGGGCCGAUACUGACGCUGAGGAGCGAAAGCGUGGGGAGCGAACAGG